GCUGUUUCUACAGGGCUAGAAUUUCUCGUUGUCCUUGAGUGAGAUUUGGAUUCUGAAUCAUAAUUCUGAUCAUCUACAAAAAACAAAAAAACAUGACUUGUUCUCACACAUUUUGUUACAUGUGCUGUUUCGGAAUCUACACUCGGAGCGGUGGUGGUUGUCUCUUCUGCAACUGAAACAUCUACCAUGCUGACAAGGCAUUAAUAUUAAUGUAAACCAAUGUAUCUUGGAGAACGUCUGCAGACUCCCAUGCAGUGGCUACAUUUACAAGUCAUAGCUAAUGAGUUCUCAUACUAUCGGGAGGAGCACAAGCUCCAAUCACGCAACAUGUUGUGGUAAAAAACAUCAUUUUUAAUGAUAAAUUCAACUUGGUGAACUCAUAUGAACUUUGCACAAUUGUUAGUGGUUGUAAUUUUAUAUCAACAUCACGUGCUUUGCUUUUUUAAGCAACUCUUCCAUUUCGGUAUCAUAUUUCAAAACCGAAAAAAUGUAUACAUUUCAAAAUCAAAGUAAAUUAUUUAUUAAAGGUUUUUCUAACUUAAAUGUUCAGAAUAUUAUCAAACUGAUGAAUUCGUUCUUCAAAAAUUAAGUAUCAACUUCAGUUCCUGUUUGUACCAAAUCAUUAUACAGUAAGUUUCAUACAAAUAAUUAAUUCAUAUCAAAUAUUAUUCUUCGAUUAAUCUUUGGAUACUAAUGCCAUUAAUUCAUAAAGUCAGAAGAGUCGAGUGUAUUUGCGCAAUGAGUCAAAUGGAUUGGAGUCGUAUAAUAUAAAUGUUUGGAUUCAGAGCCAAGAUCACAAUAUAUUAUUCCAAACUGAAACUAUUAAUUAAGAAUAAUUUAUUUUUAGAUUUUUUUCAGGUUGGAUCCUGCCUUCCUAAUCUGCAGCUAUUUUAAAAUUUGUAUUUUCCAAUCAUAGACAAAUAUACAUAUCAUCUGUGCUUCAAACCUACUCCGUGAGUAAAUACAUAUGACUCUGCAGACUCCCGCCUCACUCAUCAGCCAUAAUUAUAACUUCAUGGGAAUUAAACAAAAUCGAUACAGUCUCAAUGAGGUUUACAAUUCGUCUUAUUUCGGAACCAAAUAUAGUUAUCCCAAUGAAUGAAUUACAUUAUUAAUGCAACAUUAAUGGAA
rnacentral:lncRNA from 1 species